rfam:Phoenicopterus ruber ruber contig79535, whole genome shotgun sequence.
AAAGGCUCUUUUAAGAGCCACCCACAAGCUUCCUUCAAAAGGGCU